AUGCGCCGCCGCUCCAUCCUUCCCCUCCUCCUCGCGCCGCCCCUCUUUCUACCGUCACCACCCCCCAUCGGCGCCCUCCGCAGCCUAGCUGAGCCCCAUCGCCCGUGGACGUGUUCCGGCGUCAUCGCGCUACAGGUUGUCGUACCUCUGGAGGGCAUCUACAACACUGAGAUAACAAGGUGCAUAGGAUAUGAAUGGUUAUGGCUUGUGGGGUCAGCCGGGGAGGCGACGGCGACGGGGAGCAGCGGCACAUCGGCGGACAGCAACACAUGUGUAGCACACAGCGGCAGCGGCUGCACGGCCACGACGGACAAGCAACAACGCGAAGCAGGGGCAGGUGGUGUCAAGUUUUGA
rnacentral:rRNA from 1 species